AACAGGCAAUGUCUACUUUGAUCUGAAGUCUAGAGGAGACAAGUAUGGCAAACUGGUCAGCGUGGUCCCUGGUCCAGUCGGAGAGGCAGCGGACUCUGACAAGCGUCAUGCCAGUGACUUCGCCCUGUGGAAGGCAGCCAAACCCCAGGAGGUGUUCUGGGCCUCUCCCUGGGGACCCGGGAGGCCGGGCUGGCACAUCGAGUGCUCUGCCAUCGCUAGUAUGGUAUUUGGAAGUCAACUGGAUAUCCAUUCAGGUGGGAUAGAUUUAGCUUUUCCACAUCAUGAAAACGAAAUUGCACAGUGUGAAGUCUUUCAUCAGUGCGAGCAGUGGGGAAAUUAUUUUCUGCAUUCUGGGCAUUUGCACGUCAAAGGCAAAGAAGAAAAAAUGUCCAAAUCAUUAAAAAACUACAUUACUAUUAAGGACUUUCUGAAGACCUUUUCUCCUGAUGUCUUCCGGUUCUUCUGCCUGCGGAGCAGCUACCGCUCAGCCAUCGACUACAGCGACAGCGCCAUGCUCCAAGCUCAGCAGCUGCUCCUGGGACUGGGCUCUUUCCUGGAGGACGCACGUGCCUAUAUGAAGGGGCAGCUGGCCUGCGGCUCCGUCAGGGAAGCGAUGCUGUGGGAGAGGCUCUCCAGCACCAAGAGGGCCGUGAAGGCGGCCUUGGCAGAUGACUUUGACACACCCAGGGUGGUUGAUGCUAUCCUGGGCCUUGCACACCACGGGAAUGGACAGCUCAGGGCGUCCCCGAAGGAACCCGGAGGGCCGAGAAGUCCUGCUGUGUUUGGUGCCAUCAUCUCUUACUUUGAACAGUUUUUUGAAACUGUUGGAAUUUCUCUGGCAAAUCAACAGUGCGUUUCAGGAGACGGCAGCGAGGCUACCUUGCAUGGUGUGGUGGACGAGCUGGUGCGGUUCCGGCAGAAGGUCCGGCAGUUUGUGCUGGCCAUGCCCGAGGCCACGGGGGACGCCCGGCGGCAGCAGCUCCUAGAAAGGCAGCCCCUGCUGGAGGCAUGCGACACCCUGCGCCGGGGCCUGACUGCCCACGGCAUCAACAUCAAGGACAGAAGCAGUACAACAUCCACGUGGGAACUGCUGGAUCAAAGGACAAAAAAACAAAAAUCAGCGGGCUGAGGAUGGAGCACAGCCACGAACCUGCUCACGACAAGACGCACCCAUGCUCCUCACAGUCAAGGCUUUAUGUUAAAGCUUCCUGUCGGGGCUGCUA
rnacentral:sRNA from 1 species